rnacentral:lncRNA from 1 species
CAGGAAAGGGCCCUGACAAGAGGAUGGGACUGCAGUUGUGGCUGCCAGGGCCCCGGCCAGGGUGAAAACAAGGAACAUUCCAGAGAAGAUCACAAGGAUGCGAAUAAAAUCGGAGCUGCACAGGGAUCUUUGGGCUGUUGGAGUGCAGUGGCACGAUCUCGGCUCAGUGCAACCUCCGCCUCCUGAGUUCAAGUGAUUCUCCUGCCUCAGCCUCCCUAGUAGCUGGGAUUACAGGACAAGGAGAGGGACAAAUUCCUUCUUGGCAUCCUUAUGGCCCUGUGACCUGCUAAUGAAUGCUGACUCUGAGUUGCUACUAGAAUUUGGUUUCCUUGUGGCUUCCCAGGAAUUGGUCUCACUCUGCUCACUCUGUCUCCCAAGCUGGAGUGCAGUGGUACAGUCACGGCUCACUGCAGCCUCCACUUCCUGGACUCAAGUGAUCUUCUCACUUCAGCCUUCUGAGUAGCUGGGACUACAGCCCCCUCUGCAGCUCUUCAUGGGGGUCCACUCAAGUCAGAAGCCACAUUUGGGUGUGAUUCAGAGAGCUGUUUAUGCAAAACCAGCUUUGUCACCAUCAGGCAAGGCACCUGAAUUCCCACCGCAGAGAGUGUUGUGGCCGUGAGGACUUUUCUGUCACCAGCCAUUUCCAGGUUGUAGACCCAGUGUAAUCACAAGCAUCCUUGUAAGUGGCAAAGAGGCAGAGGAGACAGCGCCAGAGAGGCAGCUGCAUGAGAAGGAUCAAGAUGUUGCUGACUUUGAAGUUGGAAGAAGAAGGCCAUGAGCCUCAGUAUGUGGGCGGCUUCUAGAAGCUGGAAGGGGCAAGGAGAUGGAUUUGACCCUUCAGCCUCCAGGGGCAGCUGUACCUGCCAUCACUGAUUGUAGCCUGGUGAGGCCUGUUUUAGACUUCUGACCUGUAGAGCUGUAACAUAAUACAUUUGGGUUGUUUUCAACCACUAAGUUUGUGGUAAUUUGUUGUAGCAGCUGUAGAAAAUGAAUACAUAUGAAUCCUCUGGCAUUUGUUUGAGAUUUGCUCUAUGGCCUAGUAUGUGGUUGUAAAUGUUCCAUCUGUGCCUGAAAAAAUGUAUAUUUCUAAUUCAGUAGUCUCUGCUUUUUUUUUUUAUUUUGUACCCCAUCAAUAAAAUGAUUUUCAGCAUGUAUCCCCAAAUAAACAAUAUUUUAUUUAUUGAUUGAUUGAUAAACAGACAUGUUUAAUGAUAGCUUGCUUUUCACAGAGGUGACUUCGGAGACUUCUAAUCUAUAAUCCAGGAGUAUAUAACCAU